CCUACGGGAGGCAGCAGUGAGGAAUAUUGGUCAAUGGGCUUACGCCUGAACCAGCCAAGUCGCGUGAGGGAAGACUGCCCUAUGGGUUGUAAACCUCUUUUGUCAGGGAGCAACGCCGGCUACGUGUAGCCGGACUGAGAGUACCUGAAGAAAAAGCAUCGGCUAACUCCGUGCCAGCAGCCGCGGUAAUACGGAGGAUGCGAGCGUUAUCCGGAUUGAUUGGGUUUAAAGGGUGCGUAGGCGGAAUGCCAAGUCAGCGGUAAAAUCGCGGGGCUCAACCUCGCUCCGCCGUUGAAACUGGCGUUCUUGAGUGGGCGAGAAGUAUGCGGAAGGCGUGGUGUAGCGGUGAAAUGCAUAGAUAUCACGCAGAACUCCGAUUGCGAAGGCAGCAUACCGGCGCCCAACUGACGCUGAAGCACGAAAGCGUGGGUAUCGAACAGGAUUAGAUACCCUAGUAGUC
rnacentral:rRNA from 1 species